GAGUUAUGGGUCUUCACGCAGCCAGCAUGCUGUGUUUUGGGCUCUGCCUCUUGUAAUUUUUAGAAAUUAAUUAGUUUAUUCUUUAUUUAUAUUUAUUUAUUUAUUUAUUUUCAGAUGGGAUCUUACUCUGUUGCCCAGGCUGGAGUGCAGUGGUGCGAUCUCGGCUCUCUGCAACCUCCGCCUCCCAGGUUCAAGUGAUUCUCCUGCCUCGGCCUCCUGAGUAGCUGGGAUUUCAGAGUCUCAAGCAGGCCAUGAAAGAUCACUGUUUUAGUCUGCGUGGUGCAGUGGAACAGAUAGACCUCGGUUUGAAUCUCAGCUCUACUGUUUACUAGACAUGAAAUGGGGAAAUCUAAAAUGAGAUGCCAGAAGCCUCAAAAAUGGAAAACCCCCUGUGCUUCACAUCUGAAAAUCUCUGCUGGGGGCAGCAACUUUGAGCCUGUGGGGAAGGAACUGUCCACGUGGAGUGGUCUGGUGAAUGCUUAAGGAGCUGCAGAAGGGAAGGUAGUGAGGAGACAGUUAAAUAUUGAGCACGUUUUGGUGCCUAGCAUUGUACUGGCCUUUCACAUGCUAUGUUUAAUCACGCAGGAUUGUAUGGAAUGGGAUUGUACAGAAUGAGGCCUGGGUUUGCUAAAUCCUGGGGGAGAUUGUCUAAGCUGUCACUUGAAGGGAAAACUGUAGCAUGUGGGACUUAAAAACAGCUUGGGAUGGAGUUUGAGGUAGGGCGAGAGGGAAAAAGAUCUUGGCAGAUACAUUCUGAACAAAUACUUGUGUCAUCCUCAACU
rnacentral:lncRNA from 1 species